UCAUUUGAGAUGAAGAUAUGGGUGAUGAUCAAUGCUUACGAUUUUGGUCAAUUUAUGUUAGCAAUUUAAUUCUUUUUCAUCCAUAUUUUCAUCUCGAAUUU
rfam:Arabidopsis thaliana chromosome 1, complete sequence.